rnacentral:rRNA from 1 species
CAGUCGCCGCGGUAAUACGGAGGGUGCAAGCGUUAAUCGGAAUUACUGGGCGUAAAGCGCACGCAGGCGGUUUGUUAAGUCAGAUGUGAAAUCCCCGAGCUUAACUUGGGAACUGCAUUUGAAACUGGCAAGCUAGAGUCUUGUAGAGGGGGGUAGAAUUCCAGGUGUAGCGGUGAAAUGCGUAGAGAUCUGGAGGAAUACCGGCGGCGAAGGCGGCCCCCUGGACAAAGACUGACGCUCAGGUGCGAAAGCGUGGGGAGCAAACAGGAUUAGAUACCCGAGUAGUCCCUGUCUCUUAUAC